AUUGAACGCUGGCGGAAUGCUUUACACAUGCAAGUCGAACGGUAGAGGGGGCAACCCCUCGAGAGUGGCGAACGGGUGAGUAAAGCAUCGGAACGUACCGUGUAGUGGGGGAUAACGUAGCGAAAGUUACGCUAAUACCGCAUACGCACUGAGGUGGAAAGCAGGGGAUCGCAAGACCUUGCGCUAUACGAGCGGCCGAUAUCAGAUUAGCUAGUUGGUGGGGUAAAGGCCUACCAAGGCGACGAUCUGUAGCUGGUCUGAGAGGACGACCAGCCACACUGGAACUGAGACACGGUCCAGACUCCUACGGGAGGCAGCAGUGGGGAAUUUUGGACAAUGGGCGCAAGCCUGAUCCAGCAAUGCCGCGUGCAGGAAGAAGGCCUUCGGGUUGUAAC
rnacentral:rRNA from 1 species